CCGGCGCCGGCAAGCUCGGAAGAGCUAGCAGGCGCUAGGAAACCAGAAUGUAUCCAUUUGAAGCUGUCCUUUCCAUGGUUGUCUUCUUGUAUUAUCUACUUAAUUUAUUGUUGUUGCUGAUCAUGUUUUUGGAAGUAAUUUGAAGCUGCCAGUUUGCAAGUCAGGUAAUAGAAUCUUACACUUAAUACUUGAGUCACACUUCAUUUAAACAAAACUGUAACAUUUAGCUUGUUCUACUGAACCAAACUGGAGGACUUUGGGCUGUUGCUAGAAGUCAUUUCCAGCCUGAAGAGAAUAUGCAAACUGUAGAGGCAGUUCCAAAAGCUGUUUCCAACGUCCCAUUCUUCUUGUCUUCCAUAGUGCAGACCCUAACUCCUUACAGCUUAAACUCAGAAAAUGUUUAUCCGGUUGAAUCAGUUUCAUAAAAAGUUUUGCUUUUUAAUGGUUCUCAUAAUAAGCGCCUUUUCUCUUGUUAUUACUGUGUUUGCAAUACUGAAAACCAGAAGAGAUUAAUAAAAAUAUUAAGGAAUGAGACAUGAAGUACAUACUAUAAUUCUGAUUGGUUUUAAAUAUGCAUUAUUCAUUUUAAAUAAAAUAAUACAUGAAACCAUUUUAACUGAACAAUGAAAAAGAAUCUAGAGAAAAAAAUAAAGUACCCUCUUAUCUCUUCCCCUCCCUCACCAGAGUAACCACUGUUAUCUCUUCUAUGUGUUUUAGACCUGUGCUUUCUGAUAGGACCACACAUGGCUAUUGAGUACUUGAAAUGUAGAUGACCCAAAUUGAGAUGUGCUGUAAGUGUAAAAAACACAUUACAGUUCAAAGAUUUGGUAGAAAAAAAACACGUAAAAUAUCUUAUUUUUUGUAUUGAUUAUAUGUUGGAAUAAUGUUUUGUAUAUUGGAUUAAAUAAAAUAGUUAUUAAAUUUAA